rnacentral:rRNA from 1 species
ACGGGAGGCAGCAGUGGGGAAUAUUGCACAAUGGGGGAAACCCUGAUGCAGCGACGCCGCGUGAGCGAUGAAGUAUUUCGGUAUGUAAAGCUCUAUCAGCAGGGAAGAUAAUGACGGUACCUGACUAAGAAGCUCCGGCUAAAUACGUGCCAGCAGCCGCGGUAAUACGUAUGGAGCAAGCGUUAUCCGGAUUUACUGGGUGUAAAGGGAGCGCAGGCGGUCUGGCAAGUCUGAUGUGAAAACCCGGGGCUCAACCCCGGGACUGCAUUGGAAACUGUCAGACUAGAGUGUCGGAGGGGUAAGUGGAAUUCCUAGUGUAGCGGUGAAAUGCGUAGAUAUUAGGAGGAACACCAGUGGCGAAGGCGGCUUACUGGACGACAACUGACGCUGAGGCUCGAAAGCGUGGGGAGCAAACAGGAUUAGAUACCCUGGUA